UACGAAGGGGGCUAGCGUUGCUCGGAAUUACUGGGCGUAAAGCGCACGUAGGCGGUCUUUUAAGUCGGUGGUGAAAUCCUGGAGCUCAACUCCAGAACUGCCUUCGAUACUGGAAGACUUGAGUCCGGGAGAGGUGAGUGGAACUGCGAGUGUAGAGGUGAAAUUCGUAGAUAUUCGCAAGAACACCAGUGGCGAAGGCGGCUCACUGGCCCGGUACUGACGCUGAGGUGCGAAAGCGUGGGGAGCAAACAAG
rnacentral:rRNA from 1 species